ensembl:lncRNA
CCUAACCCUAACCCUAACCCUAACGCUAACCCUUAUCUUACUGUAAUCCUAACCCUAACCCUAACUCUAACCCUAACGCUAAACCUAAUCCUAACCCUUCCCUAACCCUAACCCUAACCCUAACCCUAACCCUAACCCUAACCCUAACCCUAACCCUAACCCUAACCCUAACCCUAACCCUAACCCUAACCCUAACCCUAACCCUUAUCUUACUGUAAUCCUAACCCUAACGCUGACCCUAACCCUAACCCUAACGCUAACCCUAACCCUAAUCCGAUCACAAACCCUAACCCUAACCCUAACCCGAACCCGAAACCUAACCCGAACCCGAACCCGAACCCGAACCCUAACCCGAACCCUAACCCUAACCCUAAGCCUAACCCUAAUCCUAACCCUAACCCAAAACUAAUCCUAACCCUAACCCUAACCCUAACCCUAACACUAAACGUAACCCUAAACCUAACCCUAACCCUAACCCUAACCCUAACCCUAACACUAACCCUAAACCUAACCCUAACCCUGACCCUAACCCUAGCCCUAACACUAACCCCAACCCUAACCCUAACCCUAACCCUAACCCUAACCCUAACCCUAACCCUAACCCUAACCCUAACCCUAACCCUAACCCUAACCCUAACCCUAACCCUAACUCUAACCCUAACCAUAACCCUAACCGUAACCC